rnacentral:rRNA from 1 species
UACGGAGGGGGCUAGCGUUGUUCGGAAUUACUGGGCGUAAAGCGCACGUAGGCGGCUUUGUAAGUUAGAGGUGAAAGCCCGGAGCUCAACUCCGGAACUGCCUUUAAGACUGCAUCGCUUGAACAUCGGAGAGGUAAGUGGAAUUCCGAGUGUAGAGGUGAAAUUCGUAGAUAUUCGGAAGAACACCAGUGGCGAAGGCGACUUACUGGACGAUUGUUGACGCUGAGGUGCGAAAGCGUGGGGAGCAAACAGGAUUAGAAACCCUCGUAGUCC